rnacentral:rRNA from 1 species
AGAGUUUGAUCCUGGCUCAGAGCGAACGCUGGCGGCAGGCCUAAUACAUGCAAGUCGAACGGAUCCUUCGGGAUUAGUGGCGGACGGGUGAGUAACACGUGGGAACGUGCCCUUUGGUUCGGAACAACUCAGGGAAACUUGAGCUAAUACCGAAUGUGCCCUACGGGGGGAAAGAUUUAUCGCCAUUGGAGCGGCCCGCGUCUGAUUAGCUUGUUGGUGAGGUAAAGGCUCACCAAGGCUACGAUCAGUAGCUGGUCUGAGAGGAUGAUCAGCCACACUGGGACUGAGACACGGCCCAGACUCCUACGGGAGGCAGCAGUAGGGAAUCUUGCGCAAUGGGCGAAAGCCUGACGCAGCCAUGCCGCGUGAAUGAUGAAGGUCUUAGGAUUGUAAAAUUCUUUCAGCGGGGACGAUAAUGACGGUACCCGCAGAAGAAGCCCCGGCUAACUUCGUGCCAGCAGCCGCGGUAAUACGAAGGGGGCUAGCGUUGCUCGGAAUUACUGGGCGUAAAGGGCGCGUAGGCGGACAGUUUAGUCAGAGGUAAAAGCCCAGGGCUCAACCUUGGAACUGCCUUUGAUACUGGCUGUCUUGAGUACGGGAGAGGUGUGUGGAACUCCGAGUGUAGAGGUGAAAUUCGUAGAUAUUCGGAAGAACACCAGUGGCGAAGGCGACACACUGGCCCGUUACUGACGCUGAGGCGCGAAAGCGUGGGGAGCAAACAGGAUUAGAUACCCUAGUAGUCC